UAGUCCCAUGAGAUGGAAAUCUGUGAGGUGGAUACCAUGUAGGCUGUGCUGACCCAGGCAGGCAGCGGGCUCUGGGGAAGAUGUAUCGGGCAAGGAUUUGGGGCUUCUGCCUCAUCUGUCUCUGAUUAUGUGAUCUUGAGAGGAUCACCGCCCCUCUGAGUUUCAGAUUCUGUCUUUUGCUGGCAUUUAGUGAAACCUGAACUUGUCUUAAUAGUUCAGAAUUUCUACUUUUUCCAUAAUUAUCCAGCCUCUAUACUCGCUGUCUCCUAACACUAAUAUACUGGGUGUCACUUUAUGCUCAGGAAAGUGCCAAGUGUUUUAAAAGAUACAAUUAGUGGAAAAUGUAAUCUUUGCUCUGGAUGCAUUUAUAAUUUGGAGAGGGAGAAAACAAGCCUUAGGAAAACAAUUUAACACAUUUCACAUCUUACACUAACUGUUUCACAUGUGUUGGUCUUGUUGGCCCAAUUAUAUGCUCGAAAAAAAACAGCCACCCCAGAAUGGCAGUACACAUGCCCAAGGCUGAGAACCUCAGAGGAGGCUUCACGUUCUAGGGGUAACAGUCUUCACUACAGUGGUCCCUUCAGUUACUAAACAAGUAAGCAAACAAUAGCAAGCUUAGGAGAGGGGGGAUUCCAGAAUUUUUAUAACAUAUUGCCUGAAAUGCCCAGUUAUUAACAAAGAAAUAUGAGACACAUAAAGAAAUAGGAAAGUGUGACCCAUACCCAGGAAAAAGAGCUGGCAGCAGAAAUAGUCUGUGAGACGGACCAGAUGUUAGAUUUAACAAAGACUUCAAAGUAGCCAUUAUUAACAUGUUCAAAGAACUGAAGGAAACUAUGAUAAAAGAGGUAAAGGUGUGAUGUCAACAUCACAACAAAUAGAAACUAUCAAUAAAGAGCUAGAAAUUAUAAAUGAAAUGGAAAUUCUGGGGAUGAAAAGUACAAUCACUGAAAUGUAUCAUUUAUUAAAGGGGCUCAACACUAUCUCUGAACUGAGAGAAGAAGAAACAGCAAACUUGAAGAUAAUUCAGUAAAGAGUGUGCAAUCUGCAGAAGAGAGAGGAAAAAGAAUGAACAAACGUGAACAGAGCCUCAGAUUACAAAAGGUUGAAGAGUAACUUGGAAGUUACUCCUAAUUCCCUGUUCGGAGAGGCCAGCAGAUGCCACCCUGACCAAGUGAUCUAAGUGAACAUCAGCAGGAGCAGGACAGACGAAAGUCGCGCCUCAGCUGACAGCAGCAAUGAGAGGAACACAGCAAUACUUCCAUGAUAUUUCCACCCUAGAUACCCCGCCUGAUUCAUAUCAUGAGGAAACACAUGAAACCCAGAUGAUGGACAUUCUGUGCACUAACUUGCCUGUAAUCUUUAAGGAUACCAAGGUCAUGGAAGUCGAGAGAACUGUUCCUCACUGAAGGAGAUUAAAGGGCCUUGACAACUAAAUGCAGUGUGUGCUUCUGAACUAGAUCCUUUGGCUGGAAUCACUGACAAAACUUGAAUGAGUUCUGAGGUGGUAAUGGCCACUGCCAGGUUCCUGAUUUUAACAUUUAUAUUUUGGCAAUUGAACAUAAGUAAAUGCUUAUAAUUCUACCAGGUUCUCAGUAACUUUUUUUAUUUUCCUAUAAUUAAAAUUAUUGUAAAUGCCCUAUCAUUAAUUUCUCACUAUUGUUACUUUGAUAAGUUUUAAGAGUAAAACUUUAUACUUAUGAGAAUUUUAGGUAUUUCUUGUGAAUUGAAUUGGUGCUUUUUUUUUCUUUUUUUUCAUCUUACAUUUCCUCAUUUUUCUUUUUAAUCCAGAGGUAAGUCUAGUAUUGUUGGUGAGGCCCACGAGCUCCUCAUCUACUCUGUUUUCAUAGGCCAUAGGGUUUGAACCCUCUCCAUUCCUGUAUACGCUCCUGUAAUUUUUGUGAUUCUUUGAAAAUCUGAAUUUCUAAUCUUAACAUUUUUGUUUUCUUUCCUUUGGGAGUUAGUUGUGAUGAGAUCACCAAAAAUGCUUCCAUGUCAGUGUAUUUAGAUAAAUUUGUGGAUUGGUUUUGGGAACCCUGAAGAAGAACUCUGAAGUCACUGACUAAAAAAGGAGAAAAGAGAAUUACAUAAAAAUAAACAUUUGGAGUAACUGUAGCCUUUACUCUUUGGGGAUAUUUCCCUUUACUUUCCUGAAAACAAUAUUUUUGUGGCAAGUACUUCAGAAGAAAUUGCAACUAGAAUAAUUAACAGUGAUGUCUUCAUUCUUAAUUUUCUAAAGCUUUGUUUUAAAACUGUGGCUCUUUAAAUCACUGAUGUAUAGUAUUAAAAAAUAAACAUGAUACUCUUAAACUCAUCUCCUGCUUCUUAAUGAAGUGUUACUGUUUUAGCCACUCACUUCUUAUAAAAGAAAUAUACCUAGGGAAUGAAAAUAAAAAUGUUAAGUGAGAAAGAGAGAAGUAUAUAAAAGAAGGGAAAAGAAAAAUUGUGGAGAGGUUGUACCUCUAGUGGAAUCCUAGCUUUGUGUUUUGAAGACUACUAUUUAUAUAUUUGUGUUAAGUUCCUGACAAGUUGUAUAUAAAUUUGUUGCUUUAUUAAAACAGAGAAAGUUACAUUUUCAAAGACCCUUCUGCUGUUUUGUAAAGCAAACAAAAACAAAAAUCAGUCAUUUUUAAGUGUGUUUGUCAUGUUUUCUUCUAGUCGUCUAAGGUCUAAGUUGGGUUAGCACACAAUUUUUGCAAAGGGCCGGAUUGUAAAUAUUUUAGUCAUGUGGGCCAUACGGUAAACUACUCAUCUCUGCUGUAAUAGGAAGGAAAGUAGGCAUACACAAUAACACAAAUGAAUAAAUCUUCACUAUGUUCCUAUGAAACAUUAUUUGAUUUCUUCUUUCAACCACUUAAACAUGUGAAAACUAUUUUUAGUAUUUGAGCUGUACAAAAACAAGCAGUGGGCAUAGGUCCAUGGGCUGUAUAGUUGACCUCAGUCUAAGUGCUUGCUGGCAGACUAGGACUUUAUGAAAAGCCAUUUCCUCCAAUUAAAGAAUUAGAGAAUCAGUAAAUUUUCUAACAUACUUUUUAGUUAUUGAGUUAAUGUUCCCUUACAUACUUUAGAGAGCUGGGUGGGGAAAGAUUAAAUGGGUUGAAGAUUAGGAAACUAGGUAAUGUUUGAUGGAGAGGUUGUUGGGCAUGCCUGAAUUUACAGCAUCUCUGUAACCUGUAUGGAGACUUGUGCCAAAGGCACUGAGUUUGCCUAACACAUGGCAAGCACUUAGUAAGUGCAUAAAUGUAGAAAUAGCAGCAUAGCUACUUACUAUAGUUCUCUAUUUAGUACUAAAUAUUUUCAGCAACUAACCAGUUGCCUGUGAUUCUAAAUUAAAGUUUUAAAUCCUAGUUCCAGUUGUCCUAACUUUCCACUAGCAAUCUAAGUGCAAAAUGUCUUAGUUGUGCUGGGCCAUGCUCUUGAGCAGUGUGUCAAGGUAUUACUACCUAGUACUUUAUAGAAAAAAUCCUUGAUCUGGUAACCACUGUUCUAACUCACAUUUUCAAAAGUUCCUGAUUGUAAAACUUUUUUAUAUGAUUGUCAAGUUCUGACACUAUAGUCUCCCAGUAAGCUCUUACUUUAGAGAAACACUAGACAUAUAGAAAAGUAUUUUAACUCCAUAUUUUAAUCUUGUGAAAAAUUUAAAAACAUGGACAGAGUCCAGAGUUUUCAUUUUAAAUAAAAACAAUAUAGUGACAUAAACCAUUUUUUAAAACACAGAUGUUACUGGCUUAGGCCAUUACCUGGGAAAUAACUAGGAAUUGCUCUGAGGAACAUAUUAAAGAAUAGGAACUUAUGCUUUAAUUUAUAAUUUCAUAUAGACUUUACCAUGAUGUAUAAUGAAAUAAACCUUUGUAUAUUUUUAUUUGUUUGUUGUCCUGGUUGGUGUUUCAACUUGUGAGAUAGGAAUGUUGAAAAAUAUCUGUAAGAUUUUAAGUUGGUUUUUAAAUUCUUCCUUAUUAGGUUGACUACCAGUUGUACCAUAAUUAAAGUUGUCUUUUUGAUUGAUAUUUUGUAGAAUAACCAGGUUCUAGAUUAGAAUUAUAUAGGAUAAACUACAUAGAAACUCAAAACAGUUUUCAUUUAUUUGUGGCUUUAUUGUUUACAUUCUUUGGGCAUCAUCUUUUCCAUGUAAAGAAAUUUGUUAAUUAUAUUUUAAUAAUAUUUCAAAGCACUAAUCUGAAAGCUGCAUUUCAUGAGUUGAAAUAAUAAUCAUUAGCCCUGAUUUUCUUUCCCUUUCCAGUUUGGUGGAGGUUUUUUUUUCCUUUUAGUAGUUUUUCCUGUGCCAAGGCCUCUUCAAGUAUCACAGACCAGCAUGAUGAGAGAUUAACAUAUUUUUCCUAAUCUUUAAUGUAGCUGGUUUUUGUGUUUUCUGAUUACAGAACUUGCUUGCAUGUACAAGGUAUUUAGUCGUGUGCCCAAUGGUUUGAAGACCAUGUGUGAGUGUGUGAGCUCCUAUUUGAGGGAACAAGGUAAAGCCCUUGUUUCUGAGGAAGGAGAAGGAAAGAACCCCAUUGAUUAUAUUCAGGGCUUAUUGGAUCUAAAGAGUAGGUUUGAUCGCUUCCUCCAGGAAUCAUUUAACAAUGACCGGCUCUUUAAACAAACUAUUGCAGGUGACUUGGAGUAUUUUUGCAAGUGCAACUCCAGGUCCCCUGAAUACGUCUCAUUAUUUAUUGAUGAUAAGCUGAAAAAGGGAGUAAAAGGGCAAACAGAACAAGAAGUAGAAACAGUAUUGGGUAAGGCAAUGGUCCUUUUAAGGUUUAUGCAAGAAAAAGAUAUAUUUGAAUGUUAUUAUAAGCAACACUUGGCAAGGAGACUUCUCACAAAUAAAAGUGUUUCUGAUGACUGAAAAAAAUAUGAUAUCUAAGUGAAAGACUGAAUGUGGAUGUCAGUUCACAUCAAAACUGGAAGGAAUGUUUAGGGAUAUGAGCAUCUCAAGCAGAACUAUGGAUGAAUUCAGGCAACAUCUACAGACAACUGGGGUAUCUUUAGGUGGUGUUGACCUCACAGUCCGGGUGCUAAUGACAGGAUACUGGCCCACUCCGUCAGCCACACCGAAGUGCAACAUCCCACCAGCCCCAAGACAUGCUUUUGAGAUAUUCAGAAGUUUAGAUAUCAUUUACUCUGACAGGUCAGUGGCCUUCUGAAUUGCUCCCUGGAAAUAGCCUUAACACAGAUUCGUCAUAUGCAACAAUGUUUUGACAACAUGCCUGUCUCCAAUACUGGACUGUCUGUUCCUUAAGAAUGCGGUGUUACAUCUUCACGGCCAAAUAGUGCCUGCCUGGCCUUCACACCAAUGGUAUGCUGUUCAGUGGUUUCCCAUUUCAUUCAGAGUAAAAUCCCAAAUUCUUACCAAAGGGCCCACAUGACGUGAAGUCUGACCACUGCUCUAAACUCAUCUACUAUUUUUACCUUUAAUCACUUGGCUUCAGCCACACGGGUCUCAUUGGUAUUCCUCAACCACGCCAACCUUGCUUUUACUGUGUGGUCUGUGCACUUGUUUUUGUGGUCUGUGCACUUGUUAUCUUUUUAUCUGCCUGAACUACUUUUAAACCAGAUGUUGACAUUGCUUUUUUCUUACUUCCUUCUGUACAAAUGACAUCUUUGUAAUGGGUCUUCCCUGACCACCCAGUAUAAAAACUAAUUAACUAACCAACUUAACCACAAUAACACUUGCCCUGCUAACUCUCCUGGGGCUGUUUCAUUUUUUUUUCUCCCUACCACUUUUCAGCAUUCAACAGAAUAGACAUUAGUUACUAUUGUUUCUUCCUUUUAGUAGCAUAUGUUCUGCCUCUGAAAACAGGUAGGAGAUAAUUAUAUAGGUUGGCACUUGGGGGUUAAAGGCAGCUAAUUUCCAACACUGAAUCUUGUUACAGAUAAAAGCAAUUAUAACUAACCACUUCUAAGUCAUUUAACACUCAAAUACAGAUUCCUGGAAAGCGCAGUUUAAACUUAAAUUCUAAAGAAAUCGUAAGUACUCUUGAUUAAAUGCAACUUUCCUUGACACACUAAUACUCCUGGCCCCUUAGGUUUUACAGAGAUGAGGUGGUAUAUCCAUGCAUUCAUACAUGCAUUCUUUCAUUCAUUCCACAGGAAUCUAGUGAGUGCAUAGUGUGCUGUGGGCACUAUACAUGCUGAACAAGAAUAGAUGCAAUUCCUUCCCAUAAGUCUAGUAGGAGAGACUACUGAUCAAAUCAUCAUACAGAUAAACAAGAAAUUGAUGUUCUAAGAAGUACACUGAUGGUGAAAUAGGCCAUGACACCGAAGUAGGAAAGGUGUCCCUAAGAGAGUGACAUUCCAAGAGAUGAAUAAGAGAUAACUAGAUUGAAACAAAUCUGACAGCCACUCUCUAAGACAGCAAACACUGGCAGAAAACCAACUCAUGUGGAAUGAUCAUAAGUUUAAUGGUUUAGAUAUAUGGGGCAGGUUCUGAGCUAUAUUAGUUAGGGUGAAAAUUAGUGCUCAAAUGUUUUAAAAAGCAUAAUGUGUUAACAAAGAACAUCAUGCUUUGAAAGAGAAAAUACUAGAACAAGACAAAUAUAAGAUUUAGACUAUGAUGGUUGGAAAAAAAUCCAGUUAGAGGGUUGUAAUUUAAAUCAAUGAAAUUUGCAAGAAUAUGGAGCAACAAAAUAGACAAGGGAUAUAUGAGAAAAUAUCAGAAUGAAUUAGUCUAUAUACCAUAAAUAUAGUGUAAAGAAAAUGGAAGUGAGACACUUAUUAAAAAAAACUCUGGAAGACUUUCCCAGAGUUAAUAUAUUAUGAUACUCUUCUUCAAAUGCCUAACAUCUACUUCAGGACUAUUAGGAGGGAACUCUUCUCAAUUUUUGAUAUUUCUUUCUAGGCUAAGAAAAAUCCUUAAUGUUACUUAUUUAUGUCUUCUUCGUAUCUCUUCCUCUGCUCCGGAGGACAUGGAGUGAUUUACAUCAUCUAUAACUUUGUAAUGAUAAAAGUCGCCAAUAAGGUAGACUUGGGCUCUAGGAUGCUAAUGGAAUAGGCUGUCCCAGGGAAGUUCUGCUGAGUAGGUCCUUCUGAUUUUGGCUACAGAAUUAAGAAGCUGUUUGACUCU